UACGUAGGGGGCAAGCGUUGUCCGGAUUUAUUGGGCGUAAAGAGCGUGUAGGCGGCCAGGUAGGUCUGCUGUGAAAACUCGAGGCUUAACCUCGAGCUGUCGGUGGAAACCAUCUGGCUAGAGUCCGGAAGAGGAGAAUGGAAUUCCCGGUGUAGCGGUGAAAUGCGCAGAUAUCGGGAAGAACACCCGUGGCGAAGGCGGUUCUCUGGGACGGUACUGACGCUGAGACGCGAAAGCGUGGGGAGCGAACAGG
rnacentral:rRNA from 1 species